CUGGGCUCUAACAAUUUAAAGCUGACUUGGUGGGUUCCUCUCUGAACCUCAGUCUCCUCAUCUGUAAAAGCAGAGGCGUGUGCUGCCGUUCUUUAGGGCACUUUCCGACUCAAACCUCUGCUGUAUUUUAGUGACAUUCUUUCCCUGUCCUCCGUGGAUUCCUUCCCCAGCUCUACCGUCCUGUGGACGUCUUCACCCCAGACCCCAGCUGGCUCAGAGCAUGGAAGGUGCAUCAAGGAGCAAAAUACGGCCUCUGCUGUCAGGAAACUCACCUUCAAUGUGGGGACAGGGGACAGACAUGCAGACCAACGCUUCUAACAGUUCCUCCAGCUGGAGUUUGGAGAAUGGACUGGAAGGGGCAUGACGGGAGUGAGAGAAGCUGGGAGCAGGGCUGUCAGGGGAAUUGGAUGAGGUCACACAGGAAAAGUGCUUGGAACAGGGCCUAAUGCACAACAGCUUGUAUUCAGACGUGGGAAUGGUGACGACCUUUGGCCUCCUGGGACUCAGUUUCCCCACCUGUAAACCCGAAACCCCCACCGUGCCCGCGUCACAGGGUCAUCGGGGAUCAGAUGAUUUGACGCACAUUGUGCGCUGGAACAGAGACUGGCCGGCAUGGCUGUGCAGUUGGCGGGGCCAGUUGCAAAAUGAAAAGGCCAGGCCUCUUGUUCAAAAACAAUUACAGAUCCCAGACGGCAGCCGUGGGGCCGAAACCCAGCGCGGCCCUGCGCCGGCUUGACAGGUUGACACGGGAAGUUCCCGGCCGAGGGAACAGCUUGUACGAGGCUUACAGGGGUCUGGAACAGAUAAUCGGAACCAGGAUUGUCUCUGAGAACCCGCGGCCGCCGUGACCCCAGGACAUUUGCGGGAGGCCUCUGACACGGGGGCCCUGCCUUGCCCCCCAUUUGGGGCGGGGGCCCAGCUGGAACAAAUGGGUCCCUUUCCAGACCAGAGACCCGCACUGGCUUUUCCAGGGACACACAGCCCGUGGGGGCAGGGUCUGAGCGGGCGCCAGCGCUCUGGGCUCUUCUCCGGGGCCCCCUCUCAUCCGCGCGCCCCGCGGGUGACCACGAGUGGAAACAAUUCGAAGAAGUUAACAAAACCCCGAGCUGGCCAGUCCUCUGUGUCCCUCAUCCUUCAGAACGUAUCUAUCGGGGGCGAUUAGAGAGGAAUGGGUCCCUGUGAGCGUUUCAAAGUUUUGCACAACAUAUUUUAUGUGUGUUUAUAGAAAAAAAGCCCAGACCCAAAUUGAUUGAAAAAAUGUGUUGUUAUUGAAAGGGCUGAGCUGAACUCUCCGCCGAGCGUGGGGCUCGCAAGACUUGGAAGGCGACGAUUUCACAUAAAUAGUUGUGCCGAGUUGUUAUGGCAACUGAAAUUUGAAAAGUAAAUAGGUUCGGGGGAAAUAUUUUUCCUUGUCUCCGGAGGAGUUUUCUGUCCGGGAUCAUUUGCAAGUGGAGGAGGAAAUCCAGGACCCAGUGGGCUUGGUGUAUGCUGUCGAGGGACAGAAAUGGGGCGUCCCCGUGUCGGGGGUCUCCCCGUCCAUGGAGCGGGUUCUGUGCUUUCCCUGAAUAGGGGUUGAGACAGGAUGACGUGGGCUGGCUCUUGCCUGCUGUGUGGCUUUGGGCCAGUGCCCUGCCCUCUCUGGGCCUCUACUUUCCUAGAACAGUUUGCUUGACUCUAAUAAUAAUAAUAAUCAUGCAGUUUCAUAGCUAUUGUUUUGGAGAUGGCACCUCCUUGUGGAUUGGACCCUCACACCAGCCUGCUGAGGUCGCCAUGCUUCUCUCCAUUGGAGAGGUGGGGAAACUGAGGCCGGGGAGAGACUGGAGGCUUCCUGGCGAUCACACAGGAGGGAACGGCAACCUCUGAAACUUGCUUGGGUUCCUGGCAUGGAGCAUGUUUUGGUCGCCACAUUCCUGUGAGCUGUUGCUCAUGUGUGCUGGCGGCCGGUCCUUCUUGGGGACGCCCCGGGGAUCACCGGUCCCAGAGCACAGAGAGGGCGAGGCCCGAGGGGUGGG
ensembl:lncRNA